rnacentral:lncRNA from 1 species
CAUCCCUAAGCUAGGGCAAGCAAGAGAGCAAAGCAAGAGGGUGCUAGGACUUGAGAAAGGGAGGAGCUCAUGAGAGCUAGAUCAUGAGGAGCUUGAGGAUUCAUCAAAUUUGCUAAGGUAAGAGAUUAGAAUUUAUGAUUCUUGAGUGGCAAGGAGAGGGGAGAUUGUCUAUGUCUCCAUUCCCGAACUCUCCCACUCAAUUUCUUUUUAGACUUUUGAUUAAGCUUUUGUAUGUGAGUGUGAUGUUCUUCAUCAUCACUUUGUAUGUGUUAAUCACUAGCUUGACUUCAUGAAAAAUAUGUAUGUAUUUGAAUCAUGUUUGAAAAGUUUAUGAAAGUUACUUAAAACCCAAGAAAUUGGCAUGAUUUUGAUCGUUUGAUGUAUUUGGAGGUUUGUAAGGGAUGAUUAAUGUUCCUUGAUAUCAUAUAUGCUUGGAAUUGUUGUUUAAGAGAAUUUAUAACAUGUUUGAAUGAAUUUUUGAGCUGAUCCAAUGUUAAACCGCCUUAGAA